AGUGCUCUCUUUUUCGCUAAGAUCUAAUGUAAUGCCUGUUCUUAUCAGUUUAAUAUCUGAUACAUCCUUGUCAGUUUCUGUUUUUUUUUUAUUUAAAGAUAGAAACUAUCUUGCAAGAGCAGGCACUUCCCUCUCUGUCAGGCUUCCCAUGGCCUUCUGUGCUGAUGUGGUGCCCCGUA
rfam:Cricetulus griseus cell line CHO-K1, whole genome shotgun sequence.